AAUAAAAAAAAAUGUCUUUUAUUAAAAUCAUUGGUCCAAAACACCAGAAAGCAAAAAUCACUCUAACCCUGCUUCUGAAAAUAACUCUUUUUUCACAGCACAACAAAAAACGCUACAAAGCCCUUAGCAUUUAUCUCAACCUCUUUGACUGCAUUUGCUUUUUGAAGAAGCGAUGAGAAACCAACUUCAUCCGCCUCUAGCUACAUGCUUGAAUUUUCUGCUUAUAUCAGAUGGCCAUAUUCUGUUUAGCAGACCUGCAUAUGACAUCAGUCAUACUUUUACAGAAAAAUAAAUGAACGGAGACGGAGAGGGGAAGAAAACCAAACCAUCCAUUAAAAAGACUGAAAAUUUAAUAAAGUAAGAUUGGUAGUUUAGCAUUAAAUUCUUGAGUGAAAAAACCUGCCAGAUUAAAUAAAAAGAGUGCAAGAAUUUACUCUUUAGAUAAUCGAGAACAAAGAGAUGUCGAACUGUUCUUCUAUUCCAGUUUUGGACUCCAUCUUUCUUCCGAUAACCGUUGGUCAAAU
rnacentral:lncRNA from 1 species